GAUCCUGGCUCAGGAUGAACGCUGGCGGCGUGCUUAACACAUGCAAGUCGAACGGAGCUUAGAAGGAAGCUUGCUUUCAUUUAAGCUUAGUGGCGGACGGGUGAGUAACGCGUGAGCAACCUGCCCUCGAGUGGGGAAUAACAUCGAGAAAUCGGUGCUAAUACCGCAUAAUGUCGAGAGACCGCAUGAUCUUUCGACCAAAGGAUUUAUUCGCUUGAGGAUGGGCUCGCGUCCGAUUAGCUAGUUGGUGAGGUAACGGCCCACCAAGGCUUCGAUCGGUAGCCGAACUGAGAGGUUGAUCGGCCACAUUGGGACUGAGACACGGCCCAGACUCCUACGGGAGGCAGCAGUGGGGAAUAUUGGGCAAUGGGCGAAAGCCUGACCCAGCAACGCCGCGUGAAGGAUGAAGGUCUUCGGAUUGUAAACCUCUGUCUUUGGUGAAGAAGGAAGUGACGGUAACCAAGGAGGAAGCCACGGCUAACUACGUGCC
rnacentral:rRNA from 1 species